rnacentral:rRNA from 1 species
UACGUAGGGUGCGAGCGUUAAUCGGAAUUACUGGGCGUAAAGCGUGCGCAGGCGGUUUUGUAAGCCAGAUGUGAAAUCCCCGGGCUUAACCUGGGAAUGGCAUUUGGGACUGCAAGGCUCGAGUGCGGCAGAGGAGACUGGAAUUCCUGGUGUAGCAGUGAAAUGCAUAGAUAUCAGGAGGAACACCGAUGGCGAAGGCAGGUCUCUGGGCUGACACUGACGCUCAUGCACGAAAGCGUGGGGAGCAAACAGG